GGGAACGUAGCCAAAUUGGGAAGGCACUGGUCUUGCAAACCAGAAAUUACGGGUUCGAGUCCCGUCGUUUCCA
rnacentral:tRNA from 1 species